CUUUCCUAUGGGGAUUUUAGCGAUGCUGGAGGUCCUCACACAGCGUGAGGACAUCCAGCGAUGCUAUAACACAGAAAACCCUUGCUAUAGACCAGGAAGUGCCCUCUAGUAGCUGUCUAGUAAACAGCCACUAGAGGAGGAGUUAACCUUGCAAGGUAAUUAUUGCAGUGUAUGAAAACUGCAAUAGUUACAGUUGCAGGGUUAAAGGGACACUAUAGUCACCCAGACCACUUCAGCUCAAUGAAGUGGUCUGGGUGCCAGGUCCCUCUAGG